rnacentral:lncRNA from 1 species
CCACUGUGCCUUGAACUUGUUGACCCAUUUCUUUGGCACAUAAGACCUGCUACUCCACCAACCCAAAGGACCACCCUUUCUUUUACUCCCCACAGCAAUGGCUACGGCAGCAACAGCUGAAGAUGAUCUGGUAAAGCUGGUGCUACUAGCAAGUCUCUUCCCAGACCUCAAGAACUGGAUUCUUUUCAUGCUUUGACUGCUCAUCA